CACGUAGGGCGCAAGCGUUGUCCGGAAUUAUUGGGCGUAAAGAGCUCGUAGGCGGUCUGUUACGUCUGCUGUGAAAACCCGGGGCUUAACCCUGGGCUUGCAGUGGAUACGGGCAGACUAGAGGCAGGUAGGGGAGAAUGGAAUUCCCGGUGUAGCGGUGAAAUGCGCAGAUAUCAGGAGGAACACCGGUGGCGAAGGCGGGUCUCUGGGCCGAUACUGACGCUGAGGAGCGAAAGCGUGGGGAACGAACAGG
rnacentral:rRNA from 1 species